UUACACAGGCCUGGGGUUCAGCUGCCAGCACCACAGAGGUGUAACUAUCUGUAACUCUAAGUCCGGGUGAUCGAACACCCACCCCCUCUGGCCCCAUGCAGGUACCUAUAUGUACAUAUAUAUACAUACAAUCUGGCACAUGCAUACACUAAACACACACACACACACACACACACACACACACACUCACUUUGGACUUCACAUGUAACCUAAACAGCAAGCACUAGAGGGCAGUAGCUGAUUAACAAGGGUAGCCAGGAAGGCAGAAGUAGAAAUGACCCAAGGGCUUCUCCCCUUCUUCCUCACCUCCUCUCUCCUCACCGCCUUCUUCCCCUCCAUUCUCCUAGUAACCGCUCCUCCACCACCACGGUCUGGGUAAAACGAAUUUGAGAGAAAAGCUGGCCUAUUGAAAGUCCUAUUUUUUUUCCUGUAUUUUCCAACUUUAACAGCUUGACACAGAUCUCCAAGGAGCUUACAUAAGCUUUAAGUAGGUUGAAUAAAUAAAGCCUUGAGAUGAUUUAACAAGCAGUUUUCUGAAUAUCCACUUGUAGAGCAGAAUCAGAUUAGUAACCAAGUGCCUUGGGAUUUGGAAAUGGCUCCCCUCCUUGUUAGUGGAUUUGGAGAGGAAAGAGAAAGGCUUUCUCUGUGUGUUUAUGGAAGCUUCCUCCUGCCUCCUGCUUCCUGCCUUCACCUAGUACCACCUUUCCCAGGAUGAAAGACUUGCUUUUUUUCUUCCUCUUUUUGAGUUCUCACCCUGUAGCCCAGGCUGACCACGGUUUCUCAAUCCUCCUGCCUUCAGUAUAGAAGUACAGACUUACAGGUAUAUGCCACAACACCUGGCUCUAAAUGUCUCCUUUUCCUUCUCCUCCCCGCCCUCUUUCUUCCUUCUUUUCUGUUUCUUUGAGAUGGGGUUUCAUCGAGGCCAGGCUGGCUUCGAACUGGCUGUGUAGGCAAGGAUGUGCUUGAACUUCUGAUCCUUCUCCCUCUGCUUCCUGAGUGCUGAGAUUACAGAUGUACGCCAUGAUGUUUGGUGUUAGGCCGUGCUAGGGUGGGAACUCAGGGGCUCUGUGCAUGCCAGGCAAGCUUUCUACCAAUUUGCUCCCCCUCUUUUUUUUUUUUUAAACUCCCAUCAACUUUGACCACUGAGCAGCCUUACCCAUCUCCUUUUCUUUUGAAACAAGGUCUUGCUAAGUUGUCCCAGCUCACCUUAAAUUCACCUCUGCAGUCAGGCAGGUCUUGUACUCGCCAUCCUCUUGACUCAGGUCAGCCCCCUGAACAGCUGGGAUUACAGGCUUGCACAAGCAUCCUAAAUACUUUCUCCUAAGUGCUUCAUAAAUGAAGCAAUCAGAGAGGAGGCUGUAGCCAUCCACAGGUAAGAGCCGCCGUGAGGCCAGACUCUGCUGGUGUCUAGUAAGGAAGCAUUUGGAUUAAAGACAUUCCUGUUGGUUUAAUUUUUGAGACCAGGUCUCAGGUAGAGUAAACUAUCUUUGUAAGUAUUAUAUAGCUGAGGCUGGCCUUGAACUCCUGAACCUCUUGGUUCAGUCUUCUAUGCCCACACCUGGACAGACAGAAGCAUCACUGGCUACAGGCAGAGGCAACCUGGGUCUCUCCCUGGGCUUUUCACUUUAUUAAGGCUGCGGCGUUCUGCCCACCUGACAUUCCUGGGGUGCUCCAAGGACAUCUUGGUAGUCAGGACCGUGAGCUCUGUCAGCAGGUACAACACCGGCACUUUGGAGUGAAAUGACACUACGGCCAGCACACCCUCUCCCCCCUCCCAUCCCAUGGAGGCGGGUGGUCUGUAGAGUCAGUGACGAAGCAUCUAGGAGUUCUUCCAUAUCCCCCCACCCCCAGGUGGAUCCUUCACACGGGCUGUGGGCACCGUCUACACUGCUUCCUAAAGCCUUUCUCACUUGAGACCCCCUCCUCUCUAACGACUCUAGCUGGGUCAAGUUGACAUAAAAGUAAGCGGUACUCUAGGCAAGCACUCUAUCGUUCGCCACAUGCUGGCCGAAGAAAGCAGGCGGUACCGUCUGCCUCCCUCCCACAAGAACUGAGACUUAGGUACCGAACCCUUCCCACCACUUCUUUAACAUGCCCGAUACAUAGACAAGCCAAGAUACCCACUGCGCUUGUAAAUAAACCUUCCUUCUGUGCCUGGC
ensembl:lincRNA